GAUGAACGCUGGCGGCGUGCCUAAUACAUGCAAGUCGAGCGAACAGACGAGGAGCUUGCUCCUCUGACGUUAGCGGCGGACGGGUGAGUAACAUGUGGAUCACCUACCUAUAAGACUGGGAUAACUUCGGGAAACCGGAGCUAAUACCGGAUAAUAUAUUCAUCCGCAUGGUUCAAUAGUGAAAGACGGUUUUGCUGUCACUUAUAGAUGGAUCCGCGCCGCUUUAGCUAGUUGGUAAGGUAACGGCUUACCAAGGCAACGAUGCGUAGCCGACCGGAGAGGGUGAUCGGCCACACUGGAACUGAGACACGGUCCAGACUCCUACGGGAGGCAGCAGUAGGGAAUCUUCCGCAAUGGGCGAAAGCCUGACGGAGCAACGCCGCGUGAGUGAUGAAGGUCUUCGGAUCGUAAAACUCUGUUAUUAGGGAAGAACAAAUGUGUAAGUAACUAUGCACGUCUUGACGGUACCUAAUCAGAAAGCCACGGCUAACUACGUG
rnacentral:rRNA from 1 species